UACGUAGGUGGCAAGCGUUGUCCGGAUUUACUGGGCGUAAAGAGCGCGCAGGCGGUCGUUCAAGUCGAGUGUGAAAGCCCCCGGCUCAACUGGGGAGGGUCACUCGAUACUGAUCGACUCGAAGGCAGGAGAGGGAAGUGGAAUUCCCGGUGUAGUGGUGAAAUGCGCAGAUAUCAGGAGGAACACCGGUGGCGAAGGCGGGUCUCUGGGGCCGAUACUGACGCUGAGGAGCGAAAGCGUGGGGAGCAAACAGG
rnacentral:rRNA from 1 species